UCGCUUCAGGAAUGUGUAUACUAAAAUUGGAGCAAUACAGACAUUAGCAUGGCCCUUGUGCAAAGUGACACAUAAGUUUGUGAAAUGUUCCAUAAUUUU
ensembl:snRNA U6 U6 spliceosomal RNA